AAGUGCCUGGAUCACACAGAGAAACUUUUUGCUGAUUAAACAGCUUUUCCAGGGUUUUUACCAAGACCCUCUCCACCUGAUCAUAUCCCACAUUUUCAACCCCUUGCUUAAGGCUUCAGGGAGAGAGGUGGCAGGGUGGGAAGAAGAGAAUGAGAUGCAAGCAGCAAGGCUGUUUAUGGCAUCCCUGGUGACUGAGUUUCAGAUUGAGUGGCAUACAGAAGAGGUACACCUCCAGAACAUUACAACUCUCCAUCCUCAGGGAACAUGAAAGCAAGUACAUGUUCUCCCACAGCC
rnacentral:lncRNA from 1 species